UUGAUGGUCCUGCCUUAGGGAGACAAGCUUACCCAUAAAUUGUUAGCCAAUAAUUCCUUAGAUAUACACCUUUGCACAAAAUGUCAAAUUAUGUUACCAAGGAAUUAGUAUAAAUAAAGCAAUUGUAAGGCACAAUGGAGAUAUGAAAACUUAAGCUUACCUUCCACUCUUACCUUGUCUGGAGGUGCUGGCCUCGAAUCCAAUUUUUCUCUUCGAUUUUCUGUAUCAAAUACACAGCAUCAGUAGUAUACAAUAAUACCCUAGGGUAUAUAUAUUCAAAACUAGAAGUGUAUAAUUGUCGACGAUCUGGCCUGUAUAAUCGUCGACGACAACCAUGACAGUGCUGGUGUGCUUCACGACGGCAACCAACUUAGAGAGACAAGCUUAAGGGCGCAAAAUGAGUGAGGUAAUGCGGGCUAGAGUAGAGUGCAAGUAUGCUAGGGAAAAAGAUGAAAAUUUACUUCAGAUUCAAAGACGGUGUUUAUAAAACCCGUCUUUGGAUAAUGCAGUUCAACAACGGUGUCCACUAAACCCGUUUUUGUAACGCGCAGAUGACGUUGUUUUCAACAAAAACGUAGUUGAAAUAAAUCUCUUAUUUACUAUAAUGCCACCGCCUCUAAAACAACAUCAUUUUUGGAACCACCGUUGUUGAAUGCGCAUCGUAGAAUACUAUUAUUUUAGUAGUAUUUAUUGCUUUCUCACACAGCCCAGUACAUUACUUUUUUGUUGUUG
rnacentral:lncRNA from 1 species